AGUAACGGCGAGUGAACAGGGAAAAGCCCAAAUUUGUAAUCUGGCACUUUUUACAAGUGUCCGAGUUGUAAUUUGUAGAGCUGUUAUCCGUACUGGACCAUGUACAAGUCUGUUGAAAAGCAGCAUCAUUGAAGGUGAAAAUCCUGUAGAUGAUAUGGACUACCAGUAUAUUUGUGAUACGGUUUCUAAGAGUCGAGUUGUUUGGGAAUGCAGCUCAAAGUGGGUGGUAAAUUCCAUCUAAGGCUAAAUAUAAGUGAGAGACCGAUAGCAAACAAGUACCGUGAGGGAAAGAUGAAAAGAACUUUGAAAAUAGAGUUAACAGUACGUGAAAUUGCUGAAAGGGAAACGUUUGAAGUUAGUUUUGUAUUCGUUGGAUCAGCUUCGCAAGGAGUGUAUUCUGAUGAUAAGCAAGUCAACAUCAGUCUAUGAGUGUUGGAUAAGGGUUUUGAGAAUGUAGCAAUUUAAUUGUGUUAUAGCUUGAGACUUGGAUACVAUGCUUUGGAUUGAGGAACGCGUAGUAAGCUUUGAGCGGAUUCGAAAGGAUCUCCUUACUAUGGAUGUUGGUGAAAUAACUUUAACACGACCCAUCUU
rnacentral:rRNA from 1 species